CCGGGGUUAGUGGCGGACGGGUGAGUAACACGUGGGAACGUGCCCUUUGGUACGGAACAACUCAGGGAAACUUGAGCUAAUACCGUAUAAGCCCUACUGGGGAAAGAUUUAUCGCCAUUGGAGCGGCCCGCGUCUGAUUAGCUAGUUGGUGAGGUAAAGGCUCACCAAGGCUACGAUCAGUAGCUGGUCUGAGAGGAUGAUCAGCCACACUGGGACUGAGAUACGGCCCAG
rnacentral:rRNA from 1 species